GAAAAUAUAGAGAAAUGAAAUAUGAUAUUAGGUUUUAUUUAGUUCAUAUAUAUAUUAUAGAAAAACUUAUGUAUAAAUUCGAUUCUCGGUUUGGUUUCGGUUCGGUUUCGGUACGAUUUUGGUUCGGUUCUUAGUGAAGAACCAUGACCGAAUCAAAGUAUCAAAAUAAAUUCGAUUUGGUAUGAUUCUUCGGUUCGAUUCGGUUUAGUUCUCCCAAAAACCGUGCACGGCCCUAGUUCUAGAAUCUAGCUAUUUUCAACAGUUAAAAGCGUUGUCUUUCCUUGUAUGUUGAAAAAUUAGAGAGCCUGGAUUACCUUUUUGGGCUCUCAUGAUGUUGGAAUCUGACUUUGUUUAUUAGUUUUAUGAGCAAGAGGGGACUCAAACUAAUAAGAUAACCUUAAACUCUUAAUUGUACAAAUGUAAGGGGUCUCUGGAGGAAUUAGCGUUGCAUGAAGAGUAUGUACUUUAAAAACCAAUUUACUUUGCCCACACCAUUCAUGAUUUACCAAACUUUGAGUUGAGUUUUGAUUGCAAUUUUCUUGCUUGGUAGUGUAUCUUAAGAUUUCAUUGCUGCCUGGUAAAACCUUUGGCGAUACUACUAUUUAUUCUUAUUUAUUCUGAUUUGUAAUUGGGAAGCUACUCUAACAAAGCACUUCUGGUUUGCAGUGUGCUGAAGAAGUGAUUCGUCAA
rnacentral:misc_RNA from 1 species